AAGAAAAAGGAGAGGGAAGCUCGGCUAGAGCGCAAUCGAAGUCGGUCUUUAUUCUCAUGAGUCAUAAGAGAUUGAAGUCUAUACUGCUAUCAUUGUGAACUAUUUAUAAGGCUAAUAACACUUUCAUGUAACUUAUCCCAAGAAGCAACUAUAAUGCAGAUCCUUCAUGUUAGAAUCAAUGUGAUCGUGUAUGUUGUGGCCUUUUGUUUUUGGUAAUAGGUUUAUUAAUUUGCA
rnacentral:misc_RNA from 1 species